UUUCUGCAAGCAGGGCCCAGAGUUAGUGGCGUGGCCUGACUUUGAAAGACUCGAAGCUAGUCUGAAGUUUCAUUUGGAGCCUGAUCAGAAAUAGAUUGUGGAUGACAAAAUGAAUCAGCCCCCAAAUUCCAUGCCAGACAGUUCAGCUGACAGAAGGAACUGAAUGUGACAUAGUCUGCAUGCUAUUUCUAGGGAAAUGGAGUUAGAAUUUUUAGAGUACAGAGCAGAGAACCUUCGCCUGUUAAAGUAUUUUGCACGGGAGUGAAACCCUUCAUUGUGUGACUAAAUCAAUGGAGAUUAUCUUCUCAGUUGGAAUUUCCUUUUGUCUGCACGUGUAUUCCGCCAGCACCUGCUCCUACAUUUACUUCAGUCAAUGAGUUCUCAAGUGAAGGACUCGAUUCAAGGAGGAUUCUUUACCACUAGUCCCAGCUGGGAAGGAUUCUUCACCACUGAGCCACCAGGAAAGCCCUUUGGGAGAACCGAGGCCUCAAGAAGCUAAGAAGUCUGCCCAAAGGCUCACAACUAUUAAAGGACAGAGCUAGGAUCUGGCAAAGAGCCCUAAUGUAAUAAGUAUGGUCCUAUGGCUGAACUUCACCCCUGACUCAACUCCCAGGAGAUGUUAGCUUUCAAAGGCCCGGUUCCCAGAAAACCUUCCACCAUCCUGGCAUCUAGGAAGCUGCCUCCGUCUCUUAUACAAAACACUACUGUGCCCACCUGAUCCCACUUUUUUUUUCAGUCUCCAAAAACGUGAUCGUCUCUCAUGAUGCCAAUUAUGCAGAAACAAUGGACUUCUGCUCAAUAGUUAACUAUUCACCAUGUAUGAAAGAAAAUCCUGGAAUGUUUACUUCAAAUAUGAAAGUGCCGGCUCAAAGGAAAACUCUUUUAAUAAUUCUCUGGAGUAGGGGAAGAGUUCUAGAGGAAGCCUUCUUGCAACUUUAACCAAAAUGUCGUGGAUUGUGUAUACGAUAAGAGCAGAAUGUCUUGAUCCCAGGAGAAUACACAGAAACAGAGGAGGUAAUUGGAUUAAUCAUUUUGACACCUGAAAGGAUGACAAGAAACUUUUAACCUACCAAUAAUCAGCGGAGGGAGCUGUCAUUGUAGAUGGCUCAGCCAAACUAUGGGGUAUCAUCACAUUAGCUAACUGCCUGGCCAAUUAGAGACGUGUAAUUCUUUCAUAUACUUAGCUUGAAAGUGAAGAUGAUUCAAAACAGUUUCCUUGUCUCUGACACGUAUCCAAAUUUUUAAUAACAGCUAAGCCC
ensembl:lncRNA